rnacentral:rRNA from 1 species
UUAAGCGACUAAGCGUACACGGUGGAUGCCCUGGCAGUCAGAGGCGAUGAAGGACGUGCUAAUCUGCGAUAAGCGUCGGUAAGGUGAUAUGAACCGUUAUAACCGGCGAUUUCCGAAUGGGGAAACCCAGUGUGAUUCGUCACACUAUCAUUAACUGAAUCCAUAGGUUAAUGAGGCGAACCGGGGGAACUGAAACGUCUAAGUACCCCGAGGAAAAGAAAUCAACCGAGAUUCCCCCAGUAGCGGCGAGCGAACGGGGAGCAGCCCAGAGCCUGAAUCAGUGUGUGUGUUAGUGGAAGCGUCUGGAAAGGCGUGCGAUACAGGGUGACAGCCCCGUACACAAAAAUGCACAUACUGUGAGCUCGAUGAGUAGGGCGGGACACGUGGUAUCCUGUCUGAAUAUGGGGGGACCAUCCUCCAAGGCUAAAUACUCCUGACUGACCGAUAGUGAACCAGUACCGUGAGGGAAAGGCGAAAAGAACCCCGGCGAGGGGAGUGAAAAAGAACCUGAAACCGUGUACGUACAAGCAGUGGGAGCACGCUUAGGCGUGUGACUGCGUACCUUUUGUAUAAUGGGUCAGCGACUUAUAUUCUGUAGCAAGGUUAACCGAAUAGGGGAGCCGAAGGGAAACCGAGUCUUAACUGGGCGUUAAGUUGCAGGGUAUAGACCCGAAACCCGGUGAUCUAGCCAUGGGCAGGUUGAAGGUUGGGUAACACUAACUGGAGGACCGAACCGACUAAUGUUGAAAAAUUAGCGGAUGACUUGUGGCUGGGGGUGAAAGGCCAAUCAAACCGGGAGAUAGCUGGUUCUCCCCGAAAGCUAUUUAGGUAGCGCCUCGUGAAUUCAUCUCCGGGGGUAGAGCACUGUUUCGGCAAGGGGGUCAUCCCGACUUACCAACCCGAUGCAAACUGCGAAUACCGGAGAAUGUUAUCACGGGAGACACACGGCGGGUGCUAACGUCCGUCGUGAAGAGGGAAACAACCCAGACCGCCAGCUAAGGUCCCAAAGUCAUGGUUAAGUGGGAAACGAUGUGGGAAGGCCCAGACAGCCAGGAUGUUGGCUUAGAAGCAGCCAUCAUUUAAAGAAAGCGUAAUAGCUCACUGGUCGAGUCGGCCUGCGCGGAAGAUGUAACGGGGCUAAACCAUGCACCGAAGCUGCGGCAGCGACGCUUAUGCGUUGUUGGGUAGGGGAGCGUUCUGUAAGCCUGUGAAGGUGUGCUGUGAGGUAUGCUGGAGGUAUCAGAAGUGCGAAUGCUGACAUAAGUAACGAUAAAGCGGGUGAAAAGCCCGCUCGCCGGAAGACCAAGGGUUCCUGUCCAACGUUAAUCGGGGCAGGGUGAGUCGACCCCUAAGGCGAGGCCGAAAGGCGUAGUCGAUGGGAAACAGGUUAAUAUUCCUGUACUUGGUGUUACUGCGAAGGGGGGACGGAGAAGGCUAUGUUGGCCGGGCGACGGUUGUCCCGGUUUAAGCGUGUAGGCUGGUUUUCCAGGCAAAUCCGGAAAAUCAAGGCCGAGGCGUGAUGACGAGGCACUACGGUGCUGAAGCAACAAAUGCCCUGCUUCCAGGAAAAGCCUCUAAGCAUCAGGUAACAUCAAAUCGUACCCCAAACCGACACAGGUGGUCAGGUAGAGAAUACCAAGGCGCUUGAGAGAACUCGGGUGAAGGAACUAGGCAAAAUGGUGCCGUAACUUCGGGAGAAGGCACGCUGAUACGUAGGUGAAGCGACUUGCUCGUGGAGCUGAAAUCAGUCGAAGAUACCAGCUGGCUGCAACUGUUUAUUAAAAACACAGCACUGUGCAAACACGAAAGUGGACGUAUACGGUGUGACGCCUGCCCGGUGCCGGAAGGUUAAUUGAUGGGGUUAGCGCAAGCGAAGCUCUUGAUCGAAGCCCCGGUAAACGGCGGCCGUAACUAUAACGGUCCUAAGGUAGCGAAAUUCCUUGUCGGGUAAGUUCCGACCUGCACGAAUGGCGUAAUGAUGGCCAGGCUGUCUCCACCCGAGACUCAGUGAAAUUGAACUCGCUGUGAAGAUGCAGUGUACCCGCGGCAAGACGGAAAGACCCCGUGAACCUUUACUAUAGCUUGACACUGAACAUUGAGCCUUGAUGUGUAGGAUAGGUGGGAGGCUUUGAAGUGUGGACGCCAGUCUGCAUGGAGCCGACCUUGAAAUACCACCCUUUAAUGUUUGAUGUUCUAACGUGGACCCGUGAUCCGGGUUGCGGACAGUGUCUGGUGGGUAGUUUGACUGGGGCGGUCUCCUCCUAAAGAGUAACGGAGGAGCACGAAGGUUGGCUAAUCCUGGUCGGACAUCAGGAGGUUAGUGCAAUGGCAUAAGCCAGCUUGACUGCGAGCGUGACGGCGCGAGCAGGUGCGAAAGCAGGUCAUAGUGAUCCGGUGGUUCUGAAUGGAAGGGCCAUCGCUCAACGGAUAAAAGGUACUCCGGGGAUAACAGGCUGAUACCGCCCAAGAGUUCAUAUCGACGGCGGUGUUUGGCACCUCGAUGUCGGCUCAUCACAUCCUGGGGCUGAAGUAGGUCCCAAGGGUAUGGCUGUUCGCCAUUUAAAGUGGUACGCGAGCUGGGUUUAGAACGUCGUGAGACAGUUCGGUCCCUAUCUGCCGUGGGCGCUGGAGAACUGAGGGGGGCUGCUCCUAGUACGAGAGGACCGGAGUGGACGCAUCACUGGUGUUCGGGUUGUCAUGCCAAUGGCACUGCCCGGUAGCUAAAUGCGGAAGAGAUAAGUGCUGAAAGCAUCUAAGCACGAAACUUGCCCCGAGAUGAGUUCUCCCUGACCCUUUAAGGGUCCUGAAGGAACGUUGAAGACGACGACGUUGAUAGGCCGGGUGUGUAAGCGCAGCGAUGCGUUGAGCUAACCGGUACUAAUGAACCGUGAGGCUUAACCUU